UACAGAGGGGGCAAGCGUUGUUCGGAAUUACUGGGCGUAAAGGGCGCGUAGGCGGCCUUCUAAGUCGAACGUGAAAUCCCUGGGCUCAACCCAGGAACUGCGUCCGAUACUGGGAGGCUUGAAUCCGGGAGAGGGAUGUGGAAUUCCAGGUGUAGCGGUGAAAUGCGUAGAUAUCAAGAGGAACACCUGCGGCGAAGGCGGGUUGCUGGGCCGACACUGACGCUGAUGCGCGAAAGCUAGGGGAGCGAACGGG
rnacentral:rRNA from 1 species